CGUAGGGCGCAAGCGUUAUCCGGAAUUAUUGGGCGUAAAGAGCUCGUAGGCGGUUUGUCGCGUCUGCCGUGAAAGUCCGGGGCUCAACUCCGGAUCUGCGGUGGGUACGGGCAGACUAGAGUGAUGUAGGGGAGACUGGAAUUCCUGGUGUAGCGGUGAAAUGCGCGGAUAUCAGGAGGAACACCGAUGGCGAAGGCAGGUCUCUGGGCAUUAACUGACGCUGAGGAGCGAAAGCAUGGGGAGCGAACAGG
rnacentral:rRNA from 1 species